rnacentral:rRNA from 1 species
GACGUAGGGCGCGAGCGUUGUCCGGAUUUAUUGGGCGUAAAGAGCUCGUAGGCGGCUUGUCGCGUCGACUGUGAAAACCCGUGGCUCAACCAUGUGGUCUGCAGUCGAUACGGGCAGGCUAGAAUUCGGUAGGGGAGACUGGAAUUCCUGGUGUAGCGGUGAAAUGCGCAGAUAUCAGGAGGAACACCGGUGGCGUAGGCGGGUCUCUGGGCUGAUAUUGACGCUGAGGAGCGAAAGCGUGGGGAGCGAACAGG